ACGACUCUCGGCAACGGAUAUCUCGGCUCUCGCAUCGAUGAAGAACGUAGCGAAAUGCGAUACCUGGUGUGAAUUGCAGAAUCCCGCGAACCAUCGAGUCUUUGAAUGCAAGUUGCGCCCGAGGCCACUCGGCCGAGGGCACGCCUGCCUGGGCGUCAUGC
rnacentral:rRNA from 1 species